rnacentral:rRNA from 1 species
GAUGAACGCUGGCGGCGUGCUUAACACAUGCAAGUCGAACGGAAAGGCCGAAGCUUGCUUCGGUACUCGAGUGGCGAACGGGUGAGUAACACGUGGGUGAUCUGCCCUGUACUUCGGGAUAAGCUUGGGAAACUGGGUCUAAUACCGGAUAUGACGAUCUCUUGGAUGGGGUUGUGGAAAGCUUUUGCGGUAUGGGAUGAGCUCGCGGCCUAUCAGCUUGUUGGUGGGGUAAUGGCCUACCAAGGCGUCGACGGGUAGCCGGCCUGAGAGGGUGUACGGCCACAUUGGGACUGAGAUACGGCCCAGACUCCUACGGGAGGCAGCAGUGGGGAAUAUUGCACAAGGGGCGCAGGCCUGAUGCAGCGACGCCGCGUGGGGGAUGACGGCCUUCGGGUUGUAAACUCCUUUCGCAAUCGACGAAGCCUUUUGGUGACGGUAGGUUGAGAAGAAGCACCGGCUAACUACGU